rnacentral:rRNA from 1 species
GGACGGGGGGGGCAAGUGUUCUUCGGAAUGGACUGGGCGUAAAGGGCACGUAGGCGGUGAAUCGGGUUGAAAGUGAAAGUCGCCAAAAAGUGGCGGAAUGCUCUCGAAACCAAUUCACUUGAGUGAGACAGAGGAGAGUGGAAUUUCGUGUGUAGGGGUGAAAUCCGUAGAUCUACGAAGGAACGCCAAAAGGCGAAGGCAGCUCUCUGGGUCC